AGACAAGCUACACCACAACAGCCCAGUAUAACCCAUCAAAGCCAGGCUGAUGCUCAGGGCUUCAACAGAAUUGGGCAGAACAGCCACGAACCCCCUCCUAAAACUACGAUCUGGACCUCAGCAGACACCAUCAGGAUGAUGACAGAGAACACUCUCUCCACCAGGCCUGACCAAAGGUCUGGCUAGGCUGAUGGUUACGAAAGAGAGGGAGAAAGAGAAGAGACUUAGGGGACCCCUCCCCCGCAAGCAAUCCUCCACGGGGAAGGCUGGCCGUGGGAAGCUGUCCCUACCCAGUGCAGACUCGAGUCUGGCUUGAGAGCCCUGGCCCACCUCUGGACAGGGUCCUGAUCCAAGGCUGGCGCUUCAUCUCAGGGCAGGGGCAAGGUGGGGGGACCCUGCCUGUCUGCCUGGAAGACACCCACAUGGCUUCCUUCGAUUCGUCCUGCAGAUCUCCCUGGCAUCACUUUCUGAGACACCGUACUCAACCCCCUCCAACAGGGAAAGCCCCCGCGCUAUGUCCUGACUCCCCCAGCUGCGCCUGGCUCCCCCACCUGUGCCUGGCUCCUCCAGAGACACCUGUUCCAGCCCAGUGUGCGGUGUGCUCAUUGUGCCAUCUCCUUGGGUGGAGUGAUGGCUCCAUGAGGGCAGGCAGGUUGUCUACUCUGUUCACUGUUUAAAGCAGGGCCCUGCCCGAAGGAGGUGCGCAAUACCUUCCGGGCAAAUAAAUGAAUGAAUGGAUGAACUAAA
ensembl:lncRNA novel transcript